rnacentral:rRNA from 1 species
ACUCCUACGGGAGGCAGCAGUGGGGAAUAUUGCACAAUGGGCGCAAGCCUGAUGCAGCCAUGCCGCGUGUGUGAAGAAGGCCUUCGGGUUGUAAAGCACUUUCAGUCGUGAGGAAGGUGGUAGUGUUAAUAGCACUAUCAUUUGACGUUAGCGACAGAAGAAGCACCGGCUAACUCCGUGCCAGCAGCCGCGGUAAUACGGAGGGUGCGAGCGUUAAUCAGAAUUACUGGGCGUAAAGCGCAUGCAGGUGGUUUGUUAAGUCAGAUGUGAAAGCCCGGGGCUCAACCUCGGAAUAGCAUUUGAAACUGGCAGACUAGAGUACUGUAGAGGGGGGUAGAAUUUCAGGUGUAGCGGUGAAAUGCGUAGAGAUCUGAAGGAAUACCGGUGGCGAAGGCGGCCCCCUGGACAGAUACUGACACUCAGAUGCGAAAGCUGGGGAGCAAACAGGAUUAGAUACCCUGGUAGCACAGA